rnacentral:rRNA from 1 species
GAUGAACGCUAGCUACAGGCUUAACACAUGCAAGUCGAGGGGAAACGAUAGAGAAAGCUUGCUUUUUCUAGGCGUCGACCGGCGCACGGGUGAGUAACGCGUAUCCAACCUGCCCAUCACUUGGGGAUAACCUUGCGAAAGUAAGACUAAUACCCAAUGACGUCUCUAGAAGACAUCUGAAAGAGAUUAAAGAUUUAUCGGUGAUGGAUGGGGAUGCGUCUGAUUAGCUUGUUGGCGGGUAACGGCCCACCAAGGCGACGAUCAGUAGGGGUUCUGAGAGGAAGGUCCCCCCACAUUGGAACUGAGACACGGUCCAAACUCCUACGGGAGGCAGCAGUGAGGAAUAUUGGUCAAUGGACGAGAGUCUGAACCAGCCAAGUAGCGUGCAGGAUGACGGCCCUAUGGGUUGUAAACUGCUUUAUAAGGGAAUAAAGUGAAGUCUCGUGAGACUUUUUGCAUGUACCUUAUGAAUAAGGACCGGCUAAUUCCGUGCCAGCAGCCG